GAAGGGCCAAGCGAACAAAGGGCUGGCUCAAGGCGCGACGGUCGACGAGGCGGAGGCACAAGCGGCUCUCAGAACCGGUUAUGGCAGCGUUGGGAGUGACAUUGGUGAGGGCAACUUUACGCAGUGCCGCGGAACAGGGGCCUGCCCUUGGUGAGUGGCGACUCAAGGCCACGGACGGGCAAUUCAGUGGAGUGGAGUAGGACAGCGACUCGCCGCCGAGGGCCGCGGCGUCUUGAGGCCACUCGAGUGAGGCGGUUUAGAGGUGCAUCGGCAGCUGGCGGUUUGGCAACAGCCAAGGUCGAAUGCGGCCGGCGGCUCGAGUUCGGCGAAAUCACAGGGCGCUUCUAGGCGCAGUAGGAGCGACGGCGUAGUCCGGGUCGUGGCCAGCUCGGUCGACUCACUUCUGUAUCCUCGCAUCCAGGAAUUAAGGUGUGCAAAAGAUCCACUAUAACAAAAUAGGCAUGUAGGGACGUUUUUGUGUCGACGCUUUUAUCUACGUCUUAUUAUUCAAAAUCGUUUGGUGCAUAGGGACGAUUUCUGAGGCGCAAAGGACAUCGUCCCUUGGUUCCCAUAGAAAAAAAAGGAUUCCGGUGGUUCAAAAUAUCUUGCGCCACCACCACCAUCCUAAUCCCCCAUCGUGCGAGAUGGCCCAAAAAAGUAACUUCCAUGGAAAAAGGGUGUGAUCUCUGGCCUCUAAACCUAGCGCCGCCAUGCCACACCGCUGCUCUCUGCCAAGAUCCUGCUCCUCCUCACCCGGACUCGCUGUAGCAGGUCCACACCCCUCACCUGUCGGCCGCCAACUGUAGGCUCGGGGACCCGGGCCUCCAGGCGGUGGCCCAGCCCCACUCCGGCCACCUCGAGCUGCAGCUCCGGCACACCAUGCACUCCGGCUGAAAGGAAGAUGACGGGUGGUGGAGCGGGCAAUGGAACUGGACAUCGCCACCUCCUCCUACUGAGAUCGUAGCGAGAUACGACCCGACAGAAGGUAGAAGAGGAACAAGAUCGACGAGGAUGAAAGCUGUUUUAUUUGUUCGCCCACGGCAACAAUGUUAUCAGAGACUUAAUUAGUUUAUAUAAUCCUCGGGGGGAAAUUGUAUGCCCCGGCGACGACUCCCACCCGGCCCUGCAUUUGCUCGCCCGGCAUCCUCUAUCUCCAAGAACCCGACGUCUUGCGACCAAAAAAAAAAAUCCAACAAGCGUCGUCAGCCAUGUGAAGCUCGUUUCCAUCAGGUAGGCUGUCCUCUUGCUUGACACUGUCGACUAGCAGCAAGGCGGCAAGUUCAUUUAUAUGUGAGUCGAUCUAAUUUUUGUUUUAGUUUUUCUACCAAUUCAUCCCAAGUAAAAAAUUGGAGCCGCUCCCUUGAUGCGUACUUAAUUGUGGAGGAGAAUCUUGACAUUGUACAUUAGAUUAUCCUAUUAAGAUAGGACAACACUGCUUUGCCAGUUUUUUUCUAAACUCUCAUCUGUUUACCGAUUAAACAUUUAGACUACCACUUCAAUUUAGACUACUACAUCAAUUUACACAUAGCUUUUUUCGUUGUUUGCUCCCAAAUUAUUGGCCCUCACGUUUGCAGGUGCUUGAUAAAAAGCCUCUGAUAAUAUCCUGAUUGAAUAGGAUGGUCAGUGUUCUUAACACAUUUUUCUUUUUCAUGCAGUUAAUAAUAGUUGUUUAUCAACUGUUAAAUCACCUUCACCCCCUCCCCUCCCAUAACUAAAAUUAAGAGCUUUGUGCCCAUGUUCUGACAUUUCUUAGAAUUAACAUGGCUUCUACUCUAAACAGAGAGAUCAACUCACACAUGCAGUUUCUCACCUGCAGAAACUUUUCUCAUGUUGUCUGAUAAAGAGCACCGUGGAUGGAUAUAUUAUCUUGUUUGGUAAGAUUUAAUCAUAUCUGAUAAUGUAAAACAUCUGGGUCACGUGUGUUGCACUAUGUCUCGAGCAGCUAAAUGGUAUCAUUCUCGCUUAUAAUUAUGUAGACAUUGUGUUAGACUGAAGAUUAUUAAUAUGAACUACCAUGAGAAUUCAGUAUUUUUAUGGUAACCCAUCCCCUUAACAAGCAGAGCUAGUAUUAAGGCUUAGAGACUAUUAGUGUCAACAACCACUAGAAUUCAGUCCCUGUAUGUUAAACUGCUUUUAUUUCUUUACAUAUAUACGCAUUGUAUGGUAAAUACUUAGUUAAUUGCUAUUUUUCUAAGAAAUACACUUCAAGCAUUCUCAUCUUGGACAAUCUAUCCAUGACAUAAUGAUUUUUCUUCUUUUUACAGUAUGUAUCUAUACUUCAUAUGGGCACAUGAAAUCUACACGGCUAGAUUGAACUUCUGCAGUGCAUGUUUACUCACUGUGGUAUAUAAAAACUUCUAUGUGCGGGAUUUUAAGGCAGUUGCCACAAGGAUACGCUAGAGAAGCAGAGAACACAAGGAGCUAUUGUUCCAUUAUCAACAUGUAGAAACUAAAAAUCAUAUAUGUUAUUAUCUCGUGCAACAUGUAAUUGUUUAUAGGUGAUGUGUACCAUUGAGUUUGUAAACUACUACUACUCUGAGUAAUACAAUGUUAUUAUCUCG